rnacentral:rRNA from 1 species
GUAGCUAAUACCGCAUAACGUCGCAAGACCAAAGAGGGGGACCCUCGGGCCUCUUGCCAUCGGAUGUGCCCAGAUGGGAUUAGCUUGUUGGUGGGGUAACGGCUCACCAAGGCGACGAUCCCUAGCUGGUCUGAGAGGAUGACCAGCCACACUGGAACUGAGACACGGUCCAGACUCCUACGGGAGGCAGCAGUGGGGAAUAUUGCACAAUGGGCGCAAGCCUGAUGCAGCCAUGCCGCGUGUAUGAAGAAGGCCUUCGGGUUGUAAAGUACUUUCAGCGGGGAGGAAGGGAGUAAAGUUAAUACCUUUGCUCAUUGACGUUACCCGCAGAAGAAGCACCGGCUAACUCCGUGCCAGCAGCCGCGGUAAUACGGAGGGUGCAAGCGUUAAUCGGAAUUACUGGGCGUAAAGCGCACGCAGGCGGUUUGUUAAGUCAGAUGUGAAAUCCCCGGGCUCAACCUGGGAACUGCAUCUGAUACUGGCAAGCUUGAGUCUCGUAGAGGGGGGUAGAAUUCCAGGUGUAGCGGUGAAAUGCGUAGAGAUCUGGAGGAAUACCGGUGGCGAAGGCGGCCCCCUGGACGAAGACUGACGCUCAGGUGCGAAAGCGUGGGGAGCAAACAGGAUUAGAUACCCUGGUAGUCCACGCCGUAAACGAUGUCGACUUGGAGGUUGUGCCCUUGAGGCGUGGCUUCCGGAGCUAACGCGUUAAGUCGACCGCCUGGGGAGUACGGCCGCAAGGUUAAAACUCAAAUGAAUUGACGGGGGCCCGCACAAGCGGUGGAGCAUGUGGUUUAAUUCGAUGCAACGCGAAGAACCUUACCUGGUCUUGACAUCCACGGAAGUUUUCAGAGAUGAGAAUGUGCCUUCGGGAACCGUGAGACAGGUGCUGCAUGGCUGUCGUCAGCUCGUGUUGUGAAAUGUUGGGUUAAGUCCCGCAACGAGCGCAACCCUUAUCCUUUGUUGCCAGCGGUUCGGCCGGGAACUCAAAGGAGACUGCCAGUGAUAAACUGGAGGAAGGUGGGGAUGACGUCAAGUCAUCAUGGCCCUUACGACCAGGGCUACACACGUGCUACAAUGGCGCAUACAAAGAGAAGCGACCUCGCGAGAGCAAGCGGACCUCAUAAAGUGCGUCGUAGUCCGGAUUGGAGUCUGCAACUCGACUCCAUGAAGUCGGAAUCGCUAGUAAUCGUGGAUCAGAAUGCCACGGUGAAUACGUUCCCGGGCCUUGUACACACCGCCCGUCACACCAUGGGAGUGGGUUGCAAAAGAAGUAGGUAGCUUAACCUUCGGGAGGGCGCUUACCACUUUGUGAUUCAUGACUGGGGUGAAGUCGUAACAAGGUAACCGUAGGGGAACCUGCGGUUGGAUCACCUCCUUA